GCGUGAGCGUGUAAGGUAGCGUAUAUAAUAGCCUCUUAAUUGGAGGCCAGUGAAUGGCAAGACUAGGAACACCUUUACCUUUUGUAUUAAAAAAACUUUUCAUCUAAGUGAAAAGACUUAGAUAAUAUAGGAAGACGAAAAGACCCCGCGGAACUUUACUUUUUAUUACACCUACACCCAAAAGUAUAAAGUAUCAAAAGUUUGAUUGGGGCAAUCUCGGAACCAACAAGCUUCCGAUUACCGUAACAAAGUAUCAAAAAUCUGGUAUAGACAAAACAGAAGUUACCCCGGGGAUAACAGCGUUAUCCAACUUAAGAGUACACAUCGAAAGUUGGGUUUGCGACCUCGAUGUUGGCUUAAGGCACAUCCACAUUAGUGCAACCGCUAUGAAAGGAUAGUCUGUUCGACUAUUCAUACCCUUACACGAGCUGAGUUAAGACCGGCGUAAGCUAGGUUGGUUUCUAUCUCCUGUAUAAACACCCAUUCUUGAUGUACGAAGACC
rnacentral:rRNA from 1 species